AAAGGGAGACCUAAUUCCAGUAGGAGACGAAAAAAAAGUAGUCCCUACCAAGAAUCAAUCCCAAAAGGUCGGAGCGAGGCAAAAUUGGCUUUCAAACUAGGUUCUGGGUUCACACAAGACCUGAAUCAGGAACAAGGGCUAUUAGCUCAGGUGGUUAGAGCGCACCCCUGAUAAGGGUGAGGUCCCUGGUUCGAGUCCAGGAUGGCCCACCUGCACAGGUGGAAGAAAGAAAAGAAGCUCCGAAUCAGCACCUUAUCUUACUUAUAUAGUAAGAGAGAAUGCUGGCUCUGAGUACAGAGUCCAGAGGAACCUUGAAAACAGCAUAGAGCUAGGUGAAAAAGCCAAAAAAGAAGACCGCAAG
rnacentral:tRNA from 1 species